rnacentral:rRNA from 1 species
GAUAAACGCUGGCGGCGUGCCUAAUACAUGCCAGUCGAGCGAACGGACGAGAAGCUUGCUUCUCUGAUGUUAGCGGCGGACGGGUGAGUAACACGUGGAUAACCUACCUAUAAGACUGGGAUAACUUCGGGAAACCGGAGCUAAUACCGGAUAAUAUUUUGAACCGCAUGGUUCAAAGGUGAAAGACGGUCUUGCUGUCACUUAUAGAUGGAUCCGCGCUGCAUUAGCUAGUUGGUAAGGUAACGGCUUACCAAGGCAACGAUGCAUAGCCGACCUGAGAGGGUGAUCGGCCACACUGGAACUGAGACACGGUCCAGACUCCUACGGGAGGCAGCAGUAGGGAAUCUUCCGCAAUGGGCGAAAGACUGACGGAGCAACGCCGCGUGAGUGAUGAAGGUCUUCGGAUCGUAAAACUCUGUUAUUAGGGAAGAACAUAUGUGUAAGUAACUGUGCACAUCUUGACGGUACCUAAUCAGAAAGCCACGGCUAACUACGUG